UACGAAGGGGGCUAGCGUUGUUCGGAAUUACUGGGCGUAAAGGGCGCGUAGGCGGUCAGCACAAGUCAGUUGUGAAAUCUCCGGGCUUAACUCGGAAAGGUCAACUGAUACUGUGCGACUAGAGUGCGGAAGGGGCAACUGGAAUUCUCGGUGUAGCGGUGAAAUGCGUAGAUAUCAGCAGGAACACCCGUGGCGAAGGCGGCCCCCUGGGCCGUACCUGACCGCUGAGGCGCGAAGGCUAGGGGAGCGAACGGG
rnacentral:rRNA from 1 species